rnacentral:rRNA from 1 species
CCAAUCGAACUCGGAGAUAGCUGGUUCUCCUCGAAAUAGCUUUAGGGCUAGCGUCGUGUUAGUAGCACAUGGGGGUAGAGCUCUGUAAAGGACUGGGGCGGGCAACUGUACCCACCCUUAACAAACUACGAAUACCAUGUGUGUAACCACGGCAGUUAGAACAUCGGUGCUAAGAUCGGUGCUCGAAAGGGAAACAGCCCAGACCAUCAUCUAAGGUCCCUAAAUUAACGUUCAGUGGGAAACAAGGUGAGAUUUCUUAAACAGCUAGGAUGUUGGCUUAGAAGCAGCCAUUCAUUUAAAGAGUGCGUAACAGCUCACUAGUCAAGAGAUCUUGCGUGGAAAAUGUAACGGGGCUAAAACGUUAUACCGAAGAUAUGGAUGUCAGAUUUAUCUGGCGUGGUAGAGGAGCGUUCCUAUCAGCAGUGAAGUCGAAUCGGAAGGUUCGGUGGAGCGGUAGGAAGUGAGAAUGCUGGAAUGAGUAACCAUAAGAGAGGUGAGAAUCCUCUCGGCCGUAAGAGCAAGGUUUCCUGAGCCAUGGUAAUCAUCUCAGGGUUAGUCGGGCCUAAGCCGAGGCGCAGAGCGUAGGCGAUGGACAUCAGGUUAAUAUUCCUGAACCGGUUAAGUUUUGUACACUGUUCACGGGGAAGUAAUCGAAGCGGAUUCAUGGUUUAUCCGUCCAACCGAGCGGGAACGCAAAGGGAGUGAAAGUGAUUCUUCGGAGUCGCGAUUUUGGUGAAAGCCCUGGCUAGAAAAGCAGGUGUACGCGUGGACUUAGCCGCCCGUACCGCAAACCAACACAGGUGCUCGAGUCGAGUAGACUCAGGCUUACGAGCGAACCUUCGCUAAGGAACUCGGCAAUACAGCGACCGUAACUUCGGGAUAAGGUCUGCCCCCACUUCGGUGGAUAUCAGCCGCGUUCACUCAGUGAAUAAUAGGUUAAAGAGUACAUUUUUAAUCACAAAACGAAUUUUCUGAGAUAGAGCAAUGAAUUGUUCUUUUGAACGCGAAUCUCUGACAUCUAACGAUGUGGGGGCCGCAGCAAAAGAGCCCACGGAACUGUUUAUCAAAAACACAGGUCUCUGCUAACACGAAAGUGGAUGUAUAGGGGCUGACUCCUGCCCAAUGCUGGAAGGUUAAGGGGAGCGCUUCACGGUGCGAACUGAAGCCCUAGUCAAUGGCGGCGGUAACUAUAACCGUCCUAAGGUAGCGAAAUUCCUUGUCAGGUAAGUUCUGACCCGCACGAAUGGAGUAAUCAUGUGGGCACUGUCUCAGCGAAGGACUCGGUGAAAGUGCAUUGGCGGUAAAGAUGCCGUCUGUCCGUACCAGGACGAAAAGACCCCAUGGAGCUUUACUACAGCUUUACAUUGAAUACGGUUUCAACAUGUGUAGCAUAGGUGGGAGACGUUGAAGCAGAUACGCCAGUAUUUGUGGAGUCACCAAGUGAAAUACCACCCUUGUUGUGAUUGUGUUCUCACGCUGACCGUUAUCCGGUUAGCGGACCGUGUAUGGUGGGUAGUUUAACUGGGGCGGUUGCCUCCUAAAGAGUAGCGG